GAUGAACGCUAGCUACAGGCUUAACACAUGCAAGUCGAGGGGCAGCAUGAACAUAGCUUGCUAUGUUUGAUGGCGACCGGCGCACGGGUGCGUAACACGUAUCCAAUCUGCCCGUCACUCGGGGAUAGCCUUCUGAAAGGAAGAUUAAUACCCGAUGGCAUGCAUUUCCGGCAUCGGAGAUGCAUUAAAGAUUUAUCGGUGACGGAUGAGGAUGCGUACGAUUAGCUUGUUGGCGGGGUAACGGCCCACCAAGGCGACGAUCGUUAGGGGUUCUGAGAGGAAGGUCCCCCACACUGGAACUGAGACACGGUCCAGACUCCUACGGGAGGCAGCAGUGAGGAAUAUUGGUCAAUGGGCGGGAGCCUGAACCAGCCAAGUAGCGUGAAGGAGACUGCCCUACGGGUUGUAAACUUCUUUUGUUUGGGAAUAAAGACGCUACGUGUAGCGUUGUGCAUGUACCUUACGAAUAAGCAUCGGCUAAUUCCGUG
rnacentral:rRNA from 1 species